GGGGCCGGGCUGUGCUCCAGGGACAGGAGGAGAGGGAACGGCCCCAGGCUGGGCCAGGGAGGGGCAGGGUGGGCACCAGGAGGAAUUUCCACAUGGAGAGGGAGCUCAGGAAUGGGAACUGCCCAGCGGGGUCUGGAGUUCCCAUCCCCGGAGGGGCCCAAGGAACGCCUGCAGGCGGCCCCGGCGCUGUGGGCUGGUGCCGAGGCGGGGAUUCCUCACAGGCUGCACUGGAGGGUCCCGGAGCUUUUCCCGCCUCAGCGAUGUGAGGGGAGCGCGCGCUCCCGGGGCCGCGCCCCCCGCGGCCGCCAGGGGGCGCCACCAGCAGCGCGCCUCGCGCACGCGCAGCGCCCUCUGCCGUCCGCCCCGCUCGAGCCCCCUCAGACACCGCAUGCGCGGUCGGAGGGGCCGCACUGCCCGACCGGGAACACCGGGAGCAGGGGGAACACCGGGAGCAGGGGGAACACCGGGAGCAGGGGGAACACCGAGGGCACCGGGAACACCGGGAGCGGCGAGAGCGGCAAUGCCGGCACCCAGCAACGCGGAAGCAGCGGCGCUUUAGCCGCGGCAGUGCGCAGGCGCGGGGUCAGAACCGACGAAUCGCAGCCGGCGGCGCUGCGGUGACGUCACAGGGGCUGUGAGGGGGCCGCGCUCCGGGAAGAGGCGCGGAAGGAUCGUGUUGUGCUGCUGGCUGACAGCUGCUGUCACACUCCCCACACUUCCAGCAUGGAGAGGAGGAAUGUGCAGCCCUGCCCCUGGGCUGGCGUGAAUACUGUGCCGAUUUACAGCCGAGUGCACGCUGAGGGUUAAAGCAGACACUCUGCUGGGCAUCCGGAUCUCGACAAGCUCAUUAGCAGCUCUGUGCAAGCUGCACUUGCCCUGUGUAAUCCUGACAGCUUUUCAGAAGGAUUCUGCAGCCUUCAAAGCAGGAGAUAAGAUAGGAAUGUUGCAGGAAACGAGGAUGAUUAAGGCUGGGGACGGGAGGGAAUCUCUGUGUGCUGCUGGAGGCUCCCUCUGACAGGCUCCCUCCUGUGCACACACCUCUGAUCAUUCCCCGAUUCCCUUCUUUUCCCCUGCACGCGCUGCUUGAUCAUUGGGAGUUCCUGCAAGACAAGACAUGAGCAGCUGAAGAGGGGAUUACAGGGACUGUGGAGCAGCAGAGCAGUUCCUGUCAGCCUGAGCUCUCUGCACAGCUCUGUGACAUCCACACAUUCUUAGGGAGUGCCACCCUGGGGCAGUGGAAGGUGUCCCUGCCCGUGGCAGGGCUAGAACUGGAUGAGCUUUAAGGUCCUUCCCACCCAAACCAGUCUGGGAUUCUGUAAUUAAUGAUGUUGUGCUAAUUACCCACAGCAGCACUGGCACAAAGACUUCACCCCCUCAGCCCACCUCACCUCACCUUCUUCAGAGGAUUUUGCUGAUUUUGGGGUGUUGGAAGGACUGAGAGCUGCACACAGGGCACUGCUGCCCUGGAUUUAAAUAACAUUUAUUGAUCCCCUGUAGUCAGGGUGGGGCCAAGGAGACAAAGGGCGGCCUGGCUGGUGACUUCUCCUGUUUAAAACCACCCAUAGCUCUAAAGGUGCCUCAUUUCCCUUGGCAUGGAUAGGUGGGAACGCUGAUAGCCCUUUGUGCCUGUGUCAAACACCUUCCAGCUCAUUUGUGGCUCUCUUCCACAAAACAGAUGGAAACAUUCAGUGUGUGAAGAAAACCCUCCAGUGAAGGCAGAGAGAGCCUUGGAACAAAGAGUCUAGGCAUUUGCUGAGCCCUGAGUACAACUUUAUCAGAGAGCAGCGACCCUCAGGCUGCUUUUUGUGCACAUUUUACACAAAAUGUUUUGGUCUUCAAGUUUUGGCAGCUCAGUUUGGGGUUUUUCUCCGUGACAGUAAUGAUGCUGUGGGUCUCUGAUUUAUUUCAAAGCAGUACUGAAGCCAAUUAAACAAUACCUGGUGAUGAA